rnacentral:rRNA from 1 species
UACGUAGGGCGCAAGCGUUGUCCGGAUUUACUGGGCGUAAAGGGCGCGUAGGCGGCAAUUCAAGUCAUCUGUGAAAUCUCCGGGCUUAACCCGGAACGGUCAGAUGAUACUGCUUUGCUAGAGUGCAGAAGGGGCAAUCGGAAUUCUUGGUGUAGCGGUGAAAUGCGUAGAUAUCAAGAGGAACACCUGAGGUGAAGACGGGUUGCUGGGCUGACACUGACGCUGAGUGCGCGAAAGCCAGGGGAGCAAACGGG